UUACUAUAGCUUGACACUGAACAUUGAGCCUUGAUGUGUAGGAUAGGUGGGAGGCUUUGAAGUGUGGACGCCAGUCUGCAUGGAGCCGACCUUGAAAUACCACCCUUUAAUGUUUGAUGUUCUAACGUGGACCCGUUACCCGGGUUGCGGACAGUGUCUGGUGGGUAGUUUGACUGGGGCGGUCUCCUCCUAAAGAGUAACGGAGGAGCACGAAGGUUGGCUAAUCCUGGUCGGACAUCAGGAGGUUAGUGCAAUGGCAUAAGCCAGCUUGACUGCGAGCGUGACGGCGCGAGCAGGUGCGAAAGCAGGUCAUAGUGAUCCGGUGGUUCUGAAUGGAAGGGCCAUCGCUCAACGGAUAAAAGGUACUCCGGGGAUAACAGGCUGAUACCGCCCAAGAGUUCAUAUCGACGGCGGUGUUUGGCACCUCGAUGUCGGCUCAUCACAUCCUGGGGCUGAAGUAGGUCCCAAGGGUAUGGCUGUUCGCCAUUUAAAGUGGUACGCGAGCUGGGUUUAGAACGUCGUGAGACAGUUCGGUCCCUAUCUGCCGUGGGCGCUGGAGAACUGAGGGGGGCUGCUCCUAGUACGAGAGGACCGGAGUGGACGCAUCACUGGUGUUCGGGUUGUCAUGCCAAUGGCACUGCCCGGUAGCUAAAUGCGGAAGAGAUAAGUGCUGAAAGCAUCUAAGCACGAAACUUGCCCCGA
rnacentral:rRNA from 1 species